rnacentral:SRP_RNA from 1 species
GCCGGGCCUGGAGACACGUGCCUGUAGUCCCAGCUACUCGGGAGGCUGAGGUGGGAAGAUUGCUUGAGCCCAGGAGUUCUGGGCUGUAGUUCGCUAUGUGGAUUGGGUGUCCGCACUAAGUUCGGCAUCAAUAUGGUGACCUCCUGGGAGCGGGGGACCCACCAGGUUGCCUAAGGAGGGGUGAACCGGCCCAGGUUGGAAAGGGAGCAGGUCAAAACUCCCGUGCUGAUUAGUAGUGGGAUUGCACCUGUGAAUAGCCACUGCACUCCAGCCUGGGCAACAUAGCAAGACCCCGUAUCA